CCUACGGGUGGCAGCAGUGGGGAAUAUUGGACAAUGGGCGAAAGCCUGAUCCAGCCAUGCCGCGUGUGUGAAGAAGGCCUUCUGGUUGUAAAGCACUUUCAGUGGGGAAGAAAGCCUUGGGGCUAAUACCCUCGAGGAAGGACAUCACCCACAGAAGAAGCACCGGCUAACUCCGUGCCAGCAGCCGCGGUAAUACGGAGGGUGCGAGCGUUAAUCGGAAUUACUGGGCGUAAAGCGCGCGUAGGCGGUCUGAUAAGCCGGUUGUGAAAGCCCCGGGCUCAACCUGGGAACGGCAUCCGGAACUGUCAGGCUAGAGUGCAGGAGAGGAAGGUAGAAUUCCCGGUGUAGCGGUGAAAUGCGUAGAGAUCGGGAGGAAUACCAGUGGCGAAGGCGGCCUUCUGGACUGACACUGACGCUGAGGUGCGAAAGCGUGGGUAGCAAACAGGAUUAGAUACCCUAGUAGUC
rnacentral:rRNA from 1 species